AGAAUCAACGCUGGCGGCGUGCCCAACACAUGCAAGUCGAACGAGAAAGUGGAGCAAUCCAUGAGUAAAGUGGCGCACGGGUGAGUAACACGUGACUAACCUACCCUUGAGUGGGGGAUAACCUAGGGAAACCUGGGCUAAUACCGCAUAAUACCUUCGGGUCAAAGGAGCAAUUCGCUUAAGGAGGGGGUCGCGGCCGAUUAGUUAGUUGGCGGGGUAAUGGCCCACCAAGACUGUGAUCGGUAUCCGGCCUGAGAGGGCGCACGGACACACUGGAACUGAAACACGGUCCAGACUCCUACGGGAGGCAGCAGUGGGGAAUUUUGCGCAAUGGGGGAAACCCUGACGCAGCAACGCCGCGUGGAGGAUGAAGUCCCUUGGGACGUAAACUCCUUUCGAUCGGGACGAUUAUGACGGUACCGGAAGAAGAAGCCCCGGCUAACUUCGCGCCAGCAGCCGC
rnacentral:rRNA from 1 species